UCUUCUCAGUUGGCGCUAAUGGAUCUGGCAAGACGAACUUUUUCCAUGCAAUUCGUUUCGUACUAAGUGAUCUCUUCCAAAACCUGCGCAGUGAAGAUAGACAUGCACUACUUCACGAAGGUGCAGG